UACGUAGGGUGCGAGCGUUGUCCGGAAUUAUUGGGCGUAAAGGGCUCGUAGGCGGUUUGUCGCGUCGGGAGUGAAAACACACAGCUUAACUGUGUGCUUGCUUCCGAUACGGGCAGACUAGAGGUAUGCAGGGGAGAACGGAAUUCCUGGUGUAGCGGUGAAAUGCGCAGAUAUCAGGAGGAACACCGGUGGCGAAGGCGGUUCUCUGGGCCUUACCUGACGCUGAGGAGCGAAAGCAUGGGGAGCAAACAGG
rnacentral:rRNA from 1 species